UAAUUUGAUGUAUGUUGGUGUUUUCCCGU
rnacentral:piRNA from 1 species